rnacentral:lncRNA from 1 species
CGAUAAAACUUGGAAAAAUGUCUAAAUUUGACAAAUAAAAAAAAAAUCCGCGAAACUUCAUGAAUGAUUUUGGCGCAAAGACGUCAUGGGUAAACGUGACGUCAGACAAAUGAAAACUUACAAACUGGAGGUUGUUACGUUACCUGUACGCUUCAAAUUCGGAUAAAAUAACUUUAAAACGGCGAAUUCGAGGUAGGUGUUGUUUUAUUUUGGAUUAUAUAAUAGUAAUCGAAC